UACGGGGGGGGCAAGCGUUGUUCGGAAUUACUGGGCGUAAAGGGCUCGUAGGCGGCCAACUAAGUCGGACGUGAAAUCCCUCGGCUUAACCGGGGAACUGCGUCCGAUACUGGAUGGCUCGAGUUUGGGAGAGGGAUGCGGAAUUCCAGGUGUAGCGGUGAAAUGCGUAGAUAUCGGGAAGAACACCCGUGGCGAAGGCGGCUCUCUGGAACGGUACUGACGCUGAGACGCGAAAGCGUGGGGAGCGAACAGG
rnacentral:rRNA from 1 species